AAAUCUCUAUGUAUGCUGAAGGGUAUGUGAUGAUGUGGGGGGGGGGGGACUUCAUCAGGAUGCAUGGUAUCCUGCAUCCAUGAAAUAACUGGCCUUUAAAAAUAAAAAUCUGCCUGCCUCUAUGGUAAUUUCACACAGGGGUGUGUUCACUUUAGUUGCUAG